rnacentral:rRNA from 1 species
CUAGCCGUAAACGAUGGAUACUAGGUGUAGAGGGUAUCGACCCCUUCUGUGCCGCAGCGAACGCAAUAAGUAUCCCGCCUGGGGAGUACGGUCGCAAGACUGAAACUCAAAGGAAUUGAC